rnacentral:rRNA from 1 species
AUUGAACGCUGGCGGCAGGCCUAACACAUGCAAGUCGAACGAGUAGCGGACGGGUGAGUAAUGUCUGGGAAACCGCCUGCUGGAGGGGGAUCACUACUGGAAACGGUAGCUAAUACCGCAUACAAUCAGAUGUGCCCAGAUGGGAUUAGCUAGUUGGUGGGGUAACGGCUCACAAAGGCGACGAUCCCUAGCUGGUCUGAGAGGAUGACCAGCCACAUUGGAACUGAGACACGGUCCAGACUCCUACGGUAGGCAGCAGUGGGGAAUAUUGCGCAAUGGGCGCAAGCCUGAUGGAGCAAUGCCGCGUGUAUGAAGAAGGCCUUCGGGUUGUAAAGUACUGUCGGCAGGGAGGCGUUACCCACAGAAGAAGCACCGGCUAACUCCGUGCCAGCCGCCGCGGUAAUAC